UAGCAAGGGCCUGACACUCUUUGAUAGAGAAAGAUAGUCUUAUUGCGAUUCCUAUAAGAGGAAAGAAAAAAUAGUGCAAUGCUUUGUCUUUAUCACCGACCGGGUUUUUUUUCAUGGUCGGGUUAUGGCAGCUUAGGAAGGAGGCUGAUGGCGAUAUACAGAAAUUUAUAAGAGUGAAAGAGACAAAAUCCCGCAAGAUGCCAUACAUUAAACUGUCAAUCAUAUGGUCAAGAGUGCUAGUAAACAAUGUGGUUUUCUUAUUGUAGAAGUUUUAUAAAGUGAAUGAUUGUGUUUAUUAAGUAUUUAAUGGAGGUGUAAGAUGUUUUUACGUACAAUUAACAUGGUGGGGUGUUCAGUGGUUGCCUACAAAAGCAAUAGCUUGCGAAAAUAAGCGGGCGUAACAUUUCAUGCGUAAGUACAAGUUUUUCGUAUUUUGAUCAUGUAUUUCUUUCUCAAAUCUCACAGGAACCAAGUUACUGAGUUACAUCAUUAGUUGGAUUAUGAAAAACUUCAUAAAAUAGGAGAUAUCAGUAAAUUAUUGCUAAAAAUAAAACAGAAAGUUUGGUUAUGUAAACCAGUCAAAUUCAGUAGUAUUUUAUUUAGAGUUGCAAACAAAUAGAAAAAAAAGUCCCCUGCAAUUACCCCAUAUUUCGGGAGUUUCAAGCUAUUUGAUAUUUCCAGCUUUCCGACGGAGGAUGAAAUUGUUAAAGAAUGGAUUGCGGGAACUGGAAAAUCAAAUUGGAUGCCUCACAAAUACUCGCGUAUUUGUUCCAAACAUUUUGAACAACAUUGUGUCCGCAAACUGGGCAAACGAACUUUCAUCGAAAAGUUUUCUUUUCCAACCUUGUUCAUACACGAGAGGAGAGAGAAAAUUCUUUUCUUCAUCAUGUCAUGGAAAUCGUCCAUUCGUGCACGUCGUCGUCGUGGCAGUCUCAACAGCAUUCUGAAGCUAUUAUUGAACUUCAUAUAAUUGAUCCACAGGUUACAAGUGUAUGUGUAAAUAAAGUUUUCUUGACCCCCACAGUAUGUACAACGCGCAACACGUAAGAUUUUUUAUUUAAACAUAAAUAUUCGGUUUUAAGUAACAGUUUUUAAUGUAAGCGCUGGUGGCCUAGCGGUAAGAGCGUGCGGCUUGCAAUCCGGAGGUCGCGGGUUCAAACCCCGGCUCGUACCAAUGAGUUUUUUGGAACUUAUGUACGAAAUAUCAUUUGAUAUUUACCAGUCGCUUUUCGGUGAAGGAAAACAUCGUGAGGAAACCGGACUAAUCCCAACAAGGCCUAGUUUACCCUCUGGGUUGGAAGGGCAGAUGGCAGUCGCUUUCGUAAAAAUUAGUGCCUACGCCAAAUCUUGGGAUUAGUUGUCAAGCGGACCCCAGGCUCCCAUGAGCCGUGGCAAAAUGCCGGGACAACGCGAGGAACAAAAAAAAAAAACAGUAACAGUUUUAAUGUAAAUUACCAUGUUAGCUUAAAAUCAUAUACUGCGUAUCUAAUGAGGUGUCGCUCAAGCACAUCGUCAAGAACCUUCGCUGCAAUAGGGUUGUUUCCAUUUUGAAAUGCUUGUAUUAUAUAAUAUAUAUAUACCAAAUUAUUGCCUAAUAUUCAAUUUAUUUGUGUUGUUCUCAAGUAAAAGGUACCGCAUUGUCGCUUAUCAUAAGAACGCUCUUACAGGUUGUACGUAUAGAGAGCAAGCAAAUUGUAUCCUUAUGGUAAGCGACUAUGUGGUACCUUUUACUUGAGAACGACACAUUUAAUUAUUAUUUCUAGUAAGUACAGUUAUAAUAAUAUAAGUUUUGAAUAAAGAAAUUACCUCUUUUGAUA